rnacentral:rRNA from 1 species
CCUACGGGUGGCAGCAGUGGGGGAUAUUGCACAAUGGGGGGAACCCUGAUGCAGCGACGCCGCGUGGGUGAAGGAGCGUUUCGGCGCGUAAAGCCCUAUCGGCAGGGAAGAAGGCUUUCGGGUUGUAAACUUCUUUUAAGGGGGAAGAGCAGAAGACGGUACCCCUUGAAUAAGCCACGGCUAACUACGUGCCAGCAGCCGCGGUAAUACGUAGGUGGCAAGCGUUGUCCGGAUUUACUGGGUGUAAAGGGCGUGCAGCCGGGAAGACAAGUCAGAUGUGAAAUCCCGCGGCUCAACCGCGGAACUGCAUUUGAAACUGUUUUUCUUGAGUAUCGGAGAGGUAAUCGGAAUUCCUAGGGUAGCGGUGAAAUGCGUAGAUAUUAGGAAGAACACCAGUGGCGAAGGCGGAUUACUGGACGACAACUGACGGUGAGGCGCGAAAGCGUGGGGAGCAAACAGGAUUAGAUACCCCGGUAGUC